CGGCUGGUCCAAGUCCUCAUCAUCCUCCGACAGGGGCAGCGGUGGGUUCUUCACUACUGGCAUCCUGAAGCACCUGAACACGAUCGUGGCGGUUGGCUUAAUUGUGUCGAUGAUCGUUGGGGUCUUGGCCGGCGGCAUGUUCUUCUCCUACAAGAUCGGAGUGGAAGGGAAGGAUGCGGUGAUAUCGCUGAAAUCCCACGUCCAGAAUAGUAACUACACCGAGAGGAUUGGAUUCAAUAAGUGGAUGGAGGACAACGAUAUACCUGGGCUGGUGGAUCAGUACUCGGCCAAGCUCUACGACACAGUCUGGCAGCAGGUCGAUAGCUUGGCUGUUCGAUAUAAUUUGACUGAUUUCAGUGAUGGUCUCCGACAUUUCUUGAUUAGCCGAUCAGGGAAUCCUUCGGCAGGC
rnacentral:lncRNA from 1 species